AGGGUGCAAGCGUGAAUCGGAAUUACUGGGCGUAAAGCGCGCGUAGGUGGUUCGUUAAGUUGGAUGUGAAAGCCCCGGGCUCAACCUGGGAACUGCAUUCAAAACUGACGAGCUAGAGUAUGGUAGAGGGUGGUGGAAUUUCCUGUGUAGCGGUGAAAUGCGUAGAUAUAGGAAGGAACACCAGUGGCGAAGGCGACCACCUGGACUGAUACUGACACUGAGGUGCGAAAGCGUGGGGAGCAAACAGG
rnacentral:rRNA from 1 species